UUAAAGGGCUGCAGUAUAUUGACUGUACAAAGGUAGCAUAAUCAUUAGUCAUUUAAUUGAUGACUUGUAUGAAGGAUUGGAUGAAAUAUAAACUGUCUCUUAAUUAUAUUUAGAAUUUAAUUUUUUAAUUAAAAAGUUAAAAUAAAUUAGAAAGACGAGAAGACCCUAUAGAGUUUUAUAAAUAAAAUUAAUUGAGAUUAUUUAUAAAAUUAAAAUUAAGAUUAAUUUAUUUAUUUUGUUGGGGUGACAGAAAAAUAUAAAAAACUUUUUAUAUAUAUUUAAAACGUUGAUAAGUGGUUAAAUGAUCCAAUAUUAUUGAUUAUAAGAAAAAAUUACCUUAGGGAUAACAGCGUAAUUUUUUUUUUUAGUUCAUAUAAAAAAAAAAGUUUGCGACCUCGAUGUUGGAUUAAGAUAAAAUUUAAAUGUAGAAG
rnacentral:rRNA from 1 species